AUUGAACGCUGGCGGCAUGCUUUACACAUGCAAGUCGAACGGUAACAGGCCUUCGGGUGCUGACGAGUGGCGAACGGGUGCGUAAUGCAUCGGAACGUACCCAGAGGUGGGGGAUAACGCAGCGAAAGCUGUGCUAAUACCGCAUGUGAUCUGAGGAUGAAAGCGGGGGACCGCGCAGCAAUGUUUGGCCUCGCGCCUUUGGAGCGGCCGAUGUCGGAUUAGCUAGUUGGUGGGGUAAAGGCCUACCAAGGCGACGAUCCGUAGCUGGUCUGAGAGGACGACCAGCCACACUGGGACUGAGACACGGCCCAGACUCCUACGGGAGGCAGCAAUGGGGAAUUUUGGACAAUGGGCGCAAGCCUGAUCCAGCAAUGCCGCGUGCGGGAAGAAGGCCUUCGGGUUGUAAACCGCUUUUGGCAGGAACGAAACGGUGUCCGCUAAUACCGGGCGCUAAUGACGGUACCUGCAGAAUAAGCACCGGCUAACUACGUG
rnacentral:rRNA from 1 species